rnacentral:lncRNA from 1 species
CACACUCAGGGGCUGAGACCUUAUUCACACCCAUGACCUGGUCCAGGAGCAUCUUGGGCACAGUGACAGAAAUGUACGCCAUGUCCAUGAGAGACAAUUGACUGAUGAAAAAGUACAUGGGGCUGUGGAGGUGGGCGUCACAGUGUAUCAGAAGGAUCAGGACAGCAUUUCCAGACAACGCCUUCAGGAAAACCACAAAGAUGACCACACUAAGUAGAGCUGGAUGUUUGGAUCGUCUGAAGAGUCCCAUGAGGAUGAAAUCCAACUUUCCAGUGUGGUUGGCCAUCCUGGUGAUGUUGGCCAUGAGGUUUCACCUAGGCCACCAAGGAGAGUUUUGGAGUCAGUGUAACGCGUCCCUUUGUAAUGAGUGUUUCAUGAUAAAGAAAAAAUGAGGAAAUGCUGUGAAGAACUAAUAGAACGUUUCAGAAGCAGAACAAGUCGAGAGCAGUGAUGACCCUUUUCUUCCUGCUAGUACCUCCUGUCUGUCUGGCUGAACUCACCAUCAGAUGAUGUCUUGAACCUCACCUAGAUGGGCUGGUGGUGUGUGGCCAGGUUAAGAGCACCAACAGGAGUAAGAAAGUGACCUGCCUGGUUUUACCGUGUGCACUAGGGGAGGGGUUGAAAGCUUUCGGUUGAUACAUCACCUCUGGGAGUUGAAGAAGAAUGCAAUUAAGAGAGCUAAAGAAGUCAGUAGGUAUCUCUCCUGAACAAUUCUGGUUUUCUUCUAAUAGCUUUUACAAUUUUUACCUCUGUUAUGAAAUGCAAACUUUUAACCAAUAUUAGUAAUAGUAAUCUCAAAUCUCAUCAUCAUCAAAAUCUUAUUUAUGAAAUGUAGGAGUUAGUUCAUAUACAGCCUUAGCCUUUUCCACAUUAUAAAAUAUAUUCCAUAUAUAUGUGUGAUCUUCAUUUAAUAUUCAAGUAAAUGUUGUAAGAUAUUGUUAUUUUUAUUCUAACAUUUCACAGGUAUAGAAUCUGAAACUCAGAGGUCAACUGAUGUGUCAAAGAUACCUCCACAAAUCAGUACCUUGAUUAAAACUAAAAUUGGAGUCAUCUUCAUAUCUUCAUCUUUCUCCCUCUUCAUUAGGACCGAUUGUAGUCUGUUUCCCUCUCACUCACUUGCAAUCUUUAUUGCUUUAGUGUUGCAUUUGAUUUUUAUCUUUGUUUUUGUUUUAAAUACUGUCAUUAAAGUCAUAGAAAAAUCUAAAGUAAAACUGGUUGAAUAAAAAUUUUAAAAUCGACUCUAAUGUAAUAAACCAGACAAAAAUGAUACUUUACAUGUUAUAUCUUCCCUUUAAACUACAAAUAUUCAUUGAGUGUAUACCCUGUAUUAGGCUGUUGGAAUAAAACAGGGAAGAAGACAGAAGAAACUGCACCGCCAUCUUAGAUCUUGCAGCCAAAUUCCUCUGAACUUUUCUCUAAAGACGUGCUCUGGAAAAAUGUUGAUCAUUUUCCUACAUCAUGGAGGUCUUUUCAUGACCACCUUUGUCUAGACAAUGUCCUGUUUUUAGGUGCACGUUUGAGGGCUGGAGUCUCUGACCCACAGUGCUGCAGCCUGCACGUGGUUUGUCCUGACUUCUUUGCUACUUCACUUUUCGUAAGGCUCUGAGAGUGCAGGCCCUUGUGGGUGGACACUGCAGGGUGAGAGGAAGAAGUAAACUACUUUUUUCCGUUUCUGAUGGGGGUGUGGGUCAGCAGCUAUAAGCAACAGGGACCAUGGGGGGCCUCAGACUUCAGCACCUGAGAGGCAGUUUCAGUCGUAUUGGGGAGAUGCAGGCAUCUGGGUUGCUGCACAUCACCAGGGCAGGGUUCUCUCAGCAGCCCUGGAGUGCAGAGUUCCCAUCAGCUCAGCAGUGAGGGGCACAUGGGGCUCCAG